GUGCAGGCGGUUUUCUAAGUCUGAUGUGAAAGCCUUCGGCUUAACCGGAGAAGUGCAUCGGAAACUGGAUAACUUGAGUGCAGAAGAGGGUAGUGGAACUCCAUGUGUAGCGGUGGAAUGCGUAGAUAUAUGGAAGAACACCAGUGGCGAAGGCGGCUACCUGGUCUGCAACUGACGCUGAGACUCGAAAGCAUGGGUAGCGAACAGGAUUAGAUACCCUGGUAG
rnacentral:rRNA from 1 species